GACUCUGAGCUAUGGAUUAUUUGGCUCUUGUGUUGAUGAAGAACGCAGCUAGCUGCUAGAACUAAUGUGAAUUGUAGGGCACAUUGAUCAUCGACACUUUGAACGCACUUUGUGGCCUUGGGUUACUCCUUGGGCUGUGCCUGUCUGAGGGUUG